rnacentral:rRNA from 1 species
GACGAACGCUGGCGGCGUGCUUAACACAUGCAAGUCGAACGGGACCCGCAAGGGUUCAGUGGCGAACGGGUGCGUAACACGUGAAGAAUUUGUCCAACGGCGGGGGAUAGCCGGCCCAACGGCCGGGUAAUACCGCGUACGACCUUUGAGGGGCAUCCCUCGAUGGUGAAAGCCGCAAGGCGCCGAUGGAGAACUUCGCGGCCUAUCAGCUAGUUGGUGAGGUCAUGGCUCACCAAGGCGACGACGGGUAGCUGGUCCGAGAGGAUGACCAGCCACAUUGGGACUGAGACACGGCCCAGACUCCUACGGGAGGCAGCAGUGGGGAAUAUUGCGCAAUGGGCGAAAGCCUGACGCAGCGACGCCGCGUGUGGGAUGACGGCCUUCGG